ACGCUCGACACCUACGGGAGGCAGCAGUGAGGAAUAUUGGUCAAUGGACGCAAGUCUGAACCAGCCAUGCCGCGUGCAGGAUGACGGCUCUAUGAGUUGUAAACUGCUUUUGUACGAGGGUAAACGCAGAUACGUGUAUCUGUCUGAAAGUNUCGUACGAAUAAGGAUCGGCUAACUCCGUGUCAGCAGCCGCGGUAAUCUGAGCGGGCUGGCAAGGC
rnacentral:rRNA from 1 species